AUGGCAGCCGACCCGCAGCGCCGCGUGAAGCUGAUGGUUAGCUACGGCGAGAGGAUCGAGCGCGCCGAGGGACGACCGCCGAGGUACAUCGGCGGGGAGAACCUUCUCCUCAACGUCCUCUCGUCCGUCUCGACGAGGGGAUUCCACGGCCUGCUGGCGGCGAGUGCGGGCUUCUCUGACUUCUCCGUCAAGUACUGCUACUCCGGUGAGGUGCUGGACUCGCUCUGCGACGUCGACACGGACGAGGACCUGUGGGACAUGCCGGACCUGCUGCUCUACCGGGACCUGUAG
rnacentral:rRNA from 1 species